rnacentral:rRNA from 1 species
UGGGGAAUUUUGGACAAUGGGCGAAAGCCUGAUCCAGCAAUGCCGCGUGUGUGAAGAAGGCCUUCGGGUUGUAAAGCACUUUUGUCCGGAAAGAAAUCCUUGGCUCUAAUACAGUCGGGGGAUGACGGUACCGGAAGAAUAAGCACCGGCUAACUACGUGCCAGCAGCCGCGGUAAUACGUAGGGUGCAAGCGUUAAUCGGAAUUACUGGGCGUAAAGCGUGCGCAGGCGGUUUGCUAAGACCGAUGUGAAAUCCCCGGGCUCAACCUGGGAACUGCAUUGGUGACUGGCAGGCUAGAGUAUGGCAGAGGGGGGUAGAAUUCCACGUGUAGCAGUGAAAUGCGUAGAGAUGUGGAGGAAUACCGAUGGCGAAGGCAGCCCCCUGGGCCAAUACUGACGCUCAUGCACGAAAGCGUGGGGAGCAAACAGGAUUAGAUACCCUGGUAGUCCACGCCCUAAACGAUGUCAACUAGCUGUUGGGGCCUUCGGGCCUUGGUAGCGCAGCUAACGCGUGAAGUUGACCGCCUGGGGAGUACGGUCGCAAGAUUAAAACUCAAAGGAAUUGACGGGGGUCAUAGCUGG